rnacentral:lncRNA from 1 species
AGGGAAGCAGCCUAGAAGCCAAGCGGGCACUAAGCGAGUGCGCACCGUGUGUGUGUGCGGGCGUGUGUGUGUGUGUGCGCGCGGGGGCGUGUGUGUUGUGUGUGUGUGUGUGUGCGCGUAGGUGCGCGCGCGUGUGUCUCAUCUCGUCCGUCUGUAGGCGCUGGGCUCGGCGAGACGCCGGAGAGAAAGAAGAGGAGGCGAGAGGUGAACUGAGUUUGAUCCUGCGGCGGCUACAACAGCAACUCCAGAGCCGCGAGACCGCGUCCCGGAACGGACUGCCUUUUCUUAAUUGAUACAAUAGCCCAGCUCGGGUUUUCUCCACCUCCUCCCCCACCCA